AGUGAACGCUGGCGGUAGGCCUAACACAUGCAAGUCGAACGGCAGCACAGUAAGAGCUUGCUCUUACGGGUGGCGAGUGGCGGACGGGUGAGGAAUACAUCGGAAUCUACUUUUUCGUGGGGGAUAACGUAGGGAAACUUACGCUAAUACCGCAUACGACCUACGGGUGAAAGCAGGGGAUCUUCGGACCUUGCGCGAUUGAAUGAGCCGAUGUCGGAUUAGCUAGUUGGCGGGGUAAAGGCCCACCAAGGCGACGAUCCGUAGCUGGUCUGAGAGGAUGAUCAGCCACACUGGAACUGAGACACGGUCCAGACUCCUACGGGAGGCAGCAGUGGGGAAUAUUGGACAAUGGGCGCAAGCCUGACCCAGCCAUCCCGCGUGGGUGAAGAAGGCCUUCGGGUUGUAAAGCCCUUUUGUUGGGAAAGAAAAGCAGCAGGUUAAUACCCCGCUGUUCUGACGGUACCCAAAGAAUAAGCACCGGCUAACUUCGUG
rnacentral:rRNA from 1 species